GCUGGGCGUGGUGGCUCACGCCUGUAAUCCCAGCAUUUUGGGAGGCCGAGGCAGGUGGAUCACCUGAGGUCAGGAGUUUAAGACCAGCCUGGCCAACAUGGUGAAACCCUGUCUCUA
rnacentral:SRP_RNA from 1 species